rnacentral:rRNA from 1 species
UGCUGGAGGUAUCAGAAGUGCGAAUGCUGACAUAAGUAACGAUAAAGCGGGUGAAAAGCCCGCUCGCCGGAAGACCAAGGGUUCCUGUCCAACGUUAAUCGGGGCAGGGUGAGUCGACCCCUAAGGCGAGGCCGAAAGGCGUAGUCGAUGGGAAACGGGUUAAUAUUCCCGUACUUGGUGUUACUGCGAAGGGGGGACGGAGAAGGCUAUGUUGGCCGGGCGACGGUUGUCCCGGUUUAAGCGUGUAGGCUGGUUUUCCAGGCAAAUCCGGAAAAUCAAGGCUGAGGCGUGACGACGAGGCACUACGGUGCUGAAGCAACAAAUGCCCUGCUUCCAGGAAAAGCCUCUAAGCAUCAGGUAACAUCAAAUCGUACCCCAAACCGACACAGGUGGUCAGGUAGAGAAUACCAAGGCGCUUGAGAGAACUCGGGUGAAGGAACUAGGCAAAAUGGUGCCGUAACUUCGGGAGAAGGCACGCUGACACGUAGGUGAAGUGAUUUACUCAUGGAGCUGAAGUCAGUCGAAGAUACCAGCUGGCUGCAACUGUUUAUUAAAAACACAGCACUGUGCAAACACGAAAGUGGACGUAUACGGUGUGACGCCUGCCCGGUGCCGGAAGGUUAAUUGAUGGGGUCAGCGCAAGCGAAGCUCCUGAUCGAAGCCCCGGUAAACGGCGGCCGUAACUAUAACGGUCCUAAGGUAGCGAAAUUCCUUGUCGGGUAAGUUCCGACCUGCACGAAUGGCGUAAUGAUGGCCAGGCUGUCUCCACCCGAGACUCAGUGAAAUUGAACUCGCUGUGAAGAUGCAGUGUACCCGCGGCAAGACGGAAAGACCCCGUGAACCUUUACUAUAGCUUGACACUGAACAUUGAGCCUUGAUGUGUAGGAUAGGUGGGAGGCUUUGAAGUGUGGACGCCAGUCUGCAUGGAGCCGACCUUGAAAUACCACCCUUUAAUGUUUGAUGUUCUAACGUGGACCCGUAAUCCGGGUUGCGGACAGUGUCUGGUGGGUAGUUUGACUGGGGCGGUCUCCUCCUAAAGAGUAACGGAGGAGCACGAAGGUUGGCUAAUCCUGGUCGGACAUCAGGAGGUUAGUGCAAUGGCAUAAGCCAGCUUGACUGCGAGCGUGACGGCGCGAGCAGGUGCGAAAGCAGGUCAUAGUGAUCCGGUGGUUCUGAAUGGAAGGGCCAUCGCUCAACGGAUAAAAGGUACUCCGGGGAUAACAGGCUGAUACCGCCCAAGAGUUCAUAUCGACGGCGGUGUUUGGCACCUCGAUGUCGGCUCAUCACAUCCUGGGGCUGAAGUAGGUCCCAAGGGUAUGGCUGUUCGCCAUUUAAAGUGGUACGCGAGCUGGGUUUAGAACGUCGUGAGACAGUUCGGUCCCUAUCUGCCGUGGGCGCUGGAGAACUGAGGGGGGCUGCUCCUAGUACGAGAGGACCGGAGUGGACGCAUCACUGGUGUUCGGGUUGUCAUGCCAAUGGCACUGCCCGGUAGCUAAAUGCGGAAGAGAUAAGUGCUGAAAGCAUCUAAGCACGAAACUUGCCCCGAGAUGAGUUCUCCCUGAGACUUUAGGUCUCCUGAAGGAACGUUGAAGACGACGACGUUGAUAGGCCGGGUGUGUAAGCGCAGCGAUGCGUUGAGCUAACCGGUACUAAUGAACCGUGAGGCUUAACCUUACAACGCCGAAG